AUAUGCAAUAUUAUCUUUAAAAUAAUCUUUAACUUUAAAAAUGUAAAAAUCUUCUUGUCCUUAAAAUAUAAAAAUAUUAUAUUCCUUAAAGUAUGGAAAAAUUAUGCAUGAUCUCUCCUUUUCCUUAGAGUACGGAAAAGUUUUCCCAAUUAUCUUGACAUUAGCCACUAAGAUAAUUGAAACCUCUUGGUAAAGUUGUUCAAUUCAUGACCCCAAACCGGCGUCCCAAUUCGUUCUUCCUUUACCUGUUAUUUCAUGUCUGAAACAAUCAUGAAAUGUCCCAUUGUGUACUUGGACCAUGAAUGUCAUGACUUGAUGAAUGCAUUGCAUAUGUAAUGUUAUGUAUGCAAUGCACAUUUCAUAAUACCAUUAUUGCAACUGUUUAAUCAACUCAACAAGAUAAUAUAAUUAAAAGGUAACUUAACUUCAAUCAUCCAUAGAAAAAUCCUAGCUGGUUGUUCAUUUAUGUGAGGUUAAUUCUAACCAGAGGCAACCUGAUUAGAGGAAGCUUGAAUUAGAGGCAGCAUGAUCAAAUACAUAUUUCUAAUUAGAGUCAACAUGAUCAAAGAACACUUGGAUAAAAGGUAGCAUGAUCAGAGGAAUAUUGAUAUGAGUCAUUCUUGGAUUAGAGGCAACAUGAUU
rnacentral:lncRNA from 1 species